UGUGAGGAAAUGAGCACAGAGGCACCUGAUUUAAUGUGCAGGUAAGUGACAAUGCACAAUAUUUCGGUAGGGGAUUUUAAUGCAGUAGGUCUGUAAAACUAAGCAAGGUCCGACACCAACACGAGGUACCGUGCCUGCUCCUCCAACUAGCACCGAUGUCGGCUGCUAGCUACACCUGUGGAGCAGACAGACAUGCCCAGAACUUGACGGGCCAAGCUACCUAAAACGAUCUAUUUUUCAACUAUAAUAGUCUGUUUGUUACUGACAGUGUCAUCAGGAGAGUUAAGAAACAUGCUGUUAACAUUUCUGCUAAAUUGUUUUAGAGCUGUAUGACGAUGUAAAGUAAUGUUUUCUCUCAUACUGUGAAUCUCUAAUCUUAACUGUAGUGCCACUCAGAGUUUUAGUCAUAUCGACACUACCAGAUAAUGUUUGGACAUGGAUAUAUAUUAUUAAAGCAAAUAUGACAGAAAGAAGGAUGAGGAGGAGGAGAAAGAGUCCUGAGCAGGAUGCUGUGGAUCAUAUCCUACAAGCAAGAGACAAACCCUUCCUAGAGGGAAAAUUUAUCAACACAUUUAAAGGGAGAGGUGUGUUUACACAGGAGUAUAUUGAACCAAAAAGUUUUGUGGUGGAGUACCGUGGAGUUUUGUCUCUGAGUAAAGCCCACGAUGACAAAAACAACAACUAUUUGUUUGAUUUCAAGUUGAACGGGCAGCACUAUUGCAUAGAUGCUUUGAAAGAAGAUGGAACGCUUGGGCGACUAGUAAAUGAUCACAUCAAUCCGAACUGCAAAAUGAAAAAAAAUAAUGCUAAAAGGAAGGCCACACUUGCCUGUUUGCUUUGAAAGAAAUAUUUCCAGGCGAAGAAAUAACCUAUAACUAUGGUGAUUCCCCUUGGCCAUGGUGUUCAAAGGCACACUGUAAAGAACCACGUACAACACAGUCAGAGAAAAAGUUGUCCACCUCAGCACAGGAGCAAAAGG